AGGGCAGACUGAAGAAGGUGAAUUGUUACAAGCUUAUAACGGUUCACCUUCUUCAGUCUGCCCU
rnacentral:pre_miRNA from 1 species